GGGGUCGUAGCUCAAUUGGGAGAGCGCCGGCUUUGCAAGCCGGAGGUUGCCGGUUCGAACCCGGUCGGCUCCA
rnacentral:tRNA from 1 species